GACGAACGCUGGCGGCGUGCUUAACACAUGCAAGUCGAACGGUGAAGCGCCUUCCUUUUUGGUGGGUGUGGAUGAGUGGCGAACGGGUGAGUAACACGUGAGUAACCUGCCCCCUUCUUCUGGAUAACCGCAUGAAAGUGUGGCUAAUACGGGAUAUUCUGGGUCUGUCGCAUGAUGGGUCUGGGAAAGAUAUUGUUUCGGUGGGGGAUGGGCUCGCGGCCUAUCAGCUUGUUGGUGGGGUGAUGGCCUACCAAGGCGGUGACGGGUAGCCGGCCUGAGAGGGUGGACGGUCACACUGGGACUGAGACACGGCCCAGACUCCUACGGGAGGCAGCAGUGGGGAAUUGUGCACAAUGGGCGCAAGCCUGAUGCAGCGACGCCGCGUGAGGGAUGGAGGCCUUCGGGUUGUGAACCUCUUUCGCCAGUGAAGCAGGCCUGCCUCGUUUGUGGGUGGGUUGACGGUAGCUGGAUAAGAAGCGCCGGCUAACUACGUG
rnacentral:rRNA from 1 species